UUUGAGAUAGCUCAGUUGGUUAGAGCACUACACUUUUAAUGUAGUUUUUAUGGGAACAGGCUUAAAAUCUUUUUCCGAC
rnacentral:tRNA from 1 species